CCGGGGGGGAGCCCACCAGCUGCCCGCCCCUCGAGCAGCCGUACGAGCCCGGCGGCAAGAAAGGAGCCGCGGCUGCCGCUGCUGCAGCCGCUGCGGAGCCCGGCGGGGGGCCCUGCAGGUACAAGUGCGAAGCCCCCGGGCUGCCAGCACCGGGUGCCUUGAUGUGACAUCGGGGCUUGGGGGAGAGAAGACUGUUUGGAGAAAGUCCCCUCGUUUUAUUCCUUCGAUAAAACAGUUUAAAAAACACAGCUCCGCAGCGUGUUGGAGAAGGGUCGCGCUGGAAAAUGCUCAUUUGCAGUUUGACCGGACAGCGGGCAUCCAAAGCAAGAAGUUUAUCGGCAACUCACAGCUAGAAAGGGCAUCUGAAGGACAAGAAGCAGAGAGGUCUGGGCGACGUCUGCCUUUUAGAGACACGCGGAGAAGCUGGCAAGCGAGGUGCCGAAACACAAAACUGAAAUCAUUUCCAAGGUAAGAGGCUGAGGCUACUGUCCAUCACUGCGAGCAGACUCGGAGCUGAGCUUGAGCAAUGCUGUGAAAUUCCUCUGUUAUUACUGACUCACUGGGACAUUCGUUAACAUUGGCAUUGCGAGCAUGGCAGCAAGGUCCACGGGGCCGAGGGGCCCAUGGCAUGUGGGAGUCGGGGCUGGAGCAUAUCCCCAGCCAGCUGCGAUUACGUGCGAACCUCCCCAGCGAGCUGCCUUUGAAAAGGUUUCAAGGCUUCCUGAGGAAAUGUGCUUCGGGAGAGUGAGGUCCUCCCCGUCCCGGCGUUGUGGCAGUGACACCGCCAGCUUUGGGGGUGUGCUGGUCCUUUUCUUUCCUGCGGCCAGCUCUUUUCUCCCUGGUGUAAGACACUGUCUUUGCCUCUAAGGCCCUAUCCUCUGAACCUAUCCUCCGAACAUGUAGGUACAGGCUUAGCAGUGCUGCUGUGAAUCUCAGGUGCGUACAGCUGAACGCGGAAACCUGAAAAUGCUUCAGACCUGAGCACCCAGCCUCGCAGCAGGAACGGAUACCUGCACCCAGCGGGGUUUCUCUCCGUUUUUCAAGGAUGCUGAGGUCUCGCCACAGUGAUGGUGGUAGAGGAGUGAGACUCAACAGCCCAUCUGGGUGCUGUUGGCUUUUCUUGGCUUUUCUCGUAGGAGAGACCAGAAUCUCUUCAAUGGCUCCGAACUGCUGCAGUGAAGCAGGAACCACAGGUUUGGUUUGUUUUGGCUGCAUUUGCAAUAUAAGUCUCACUUUCUCCCUAGGGCUGACAAGAGGCAAGGCAGUAGCUCUGUGGCCCAGAUAUAAAAGAACCCUUCAUGUGCAGAUUGUAUCUCUCUCCAGAGACACCAACAAAAUUGGGAAUAUGGGGACAAUAUGGGAGAAUUAACUUUUCUCUUGCAGUGGUCCAGGAUGGUGGCUCCCCUUUAUUUCUUCAAGAAUAUCAGCGAGGGGUUGACUGAGAACAGCUCAAAUAAAUUUUAAGGCCAUGCAUAGUACCACUCCCUUAUUUACAGCUAAGCCUGCCCCUUCCCAGCUUUUGUACUUUACAUCCAUUAAUCUGCUCUAUGAAAAUCUCUUUUUUUUUCACUCACCCUCUGAUUUGUUCCAUAAAUGGGGAAGGGAGAGAGAAUAUCUGAUGGUGGGCAAUAGAUGUUUCGCUGCAGUGAUUCUGGGAAAGGUGUUCUGUGUACGUGUAUACAGGCUGGAGUAAUUUUUAUCCCUUACCUAAGGAGAAUACUGCAUAUUCCUCCCUCCCUGUAUCUAGUCAUCUAUUGGACUGAAGUUCUGGCGAUCAAAUUUUGCCAACUUACCUUGUGAUAAGAUCAGAGGCUUUCAACCUUUCUUGAUUUUUCAGACCCUACAACAUUUCCUGGGGAGGUGUCCUCAUUCCACGAUUUUUCAGGCUACCGACAACAGGCUCGGUUGGGUUUUGUUUCUGGUUGCUGCUCACGGUCUCCUUAAAAGCAGUGCAGGCUGCCGACUGAGAACCGGUGAGAGAUGGUUGGCAUUUUGGAACAGCAAAUAUUUUCCCGGUGUGUUUAUAUGGCCCUGAGUGUGAUGGAGCCCGCGGAGUCUGCCAUAAAGCAAGGGAUAAAUCAUAAUUUAUUGCAAGCUGCAGUUACUCAAGCUCUUUAGGCUGUCUUGGGUGAACCUCAUCGCUGAAAGGAGCAGUUCUGCUCUGCGUCCACUCCUGGCUGCUGCUUCUGCCUGCUGAGCAUGCAGAAGUGUUCCUGUGGGGAACAGA